rnacentral:lncRNA from 1 species
UUUAACAGAACUGUCCUGUUUCCUCUCAGCAAGGGUUUGGCUGUGCCUGUUUUAUGACGGGAUACAGUUUGAAUCCCCAGUGAUUCAGUGGGAGCAUAAAAGAGCAUUUUUCAGAACGCUCCAGGCUUAUUUUUCGGGCAGGGGGCUUGAUCUCAGGAGGUUCCCAGCUACUGUCACUGUGAACAAGGAAGGACCAAGGCCUCUCAUGUUCUACGCAGAUCCAAUUGCUUCUGCAUUUGCAGAUUACGAAGAAAGGAAAAAUUCUUUUCCAAGUCAUUUCAAAGGCUGAAAGAUGCUGUUGACCAAGGCUGUAGAACUUCACACGAAGUGAUAACCUUCACAGCAAAAUUUUACUGCUUUGACUUUUUAAUUGUUACCUGACAGUUUAAAAUGUUCUUCACUGUCACAGUUCCUACCUAUGGAAUGUGAUGUCAUGCUGUAAUUAGCAUAUAUUCGGUCUCUUGACAAAUGUUUGGCUGUUUGGCUGCUACUCAGCUGUGGGCUGAGUCGGCUGAGCAGAAUUGUGUUUGAGUGUGAAUAAACGAGGAGUGCAAAAGAGUGCUUGCGGUUAC